UAUAUAUAUAUUUUUUUUUUUUAAGUUCACGGGGAGGAAAGAAAAAAAAAAUAAGGAUGAUCUCACUUUUACGGUAAGAUCAAAAAAUCUCCGCUCGCCCCCAUUCUUCGAGAUUUGGGAUAAUUCCAAAUACCUUACUAAGUGCAGAUGUUGUUGCGUCUUCACAUCCUAUAAAGCCGACUUGACGUUCUUUUGCUCUCGCUUUCCUUUUCAAGUCGCAGGAAAUUCAGACACUUUACAUGAAGGGUGGAGAAGUGGUGGGAUUUGCUAACUUAACGGGUUUUUUUUAAUUAUUAUUAUUGUUAGUUGAUUUUUUUUUAAAGCUGAUCUUUAGGAUGAAAAAAAAAUCGCAGUCGCCUAAAGUCCCCGGGAAAUUGCUACUGUUGGGGGAAAACGAAACAUUUCUUGCAAACGAGAAAAUGGGGAAAUCGCUAAAUCUGCAUCAAAUAAAACACAGAGAUUGAGUAAUACAUAAACUUCGGUCUUAAAAGACUGCUAGGCGAGGCGGAUGGAGUUCUGCAGGAGACACUGUGCAACAUGGAGGAUUUCCCUGAGCUUCGGAAAGUGAGGCUGCAACAAACUUCGGGCGGCUGCCCUCCAGAGCUGCGGGAGACAGAAAAGAUCCUGCCCUACUUUGUCCCUGGUCAGCAAAACCUGAAACAGUUCAGAGCAUGGCUCAGAGCGCUGGCCGCUGCACCGAGGACUCGGGAAGCUGAGCCCUGAGAAGGGUUAACGCGCUGUGUGCAGUGCGGGUCUGCAGGCUCGCAGUUACUCUUACUUUCUUCAGCUGUAAAGACUUCGAUUAGUUUCACGUGUGUACAUUUUUCCUAUUGCAGUUAUACUCGGCCACAUAUAUGCAUGUAUUUAUGAAUUUAGUGACAUGUAUAUUUUAACAAAGAAGAUGCCCUAGCACAGCUUUCACUCAUGCAUAAAUGCACACACGUUUGGAAGAUGCCAGCAGAUUGCAACCUCAGGAGCUAAACGAUUUCACUACAAGAAACAUUUGUGAGAGAAAGCACAACACCGACUAUAUAGGAAGGACAGUGCUGAUGCCCAGCCACUUGUUCGUUGCAGGACGGGAGCGGGAGCAGCGCGGCGGCGCGACCUGCGGAGGGACCCGGCGGGGAAGGCGGCGGCGGCACAUGCCCGCUCCCCUGUGCGCAGGAGAAGCACAUACGCUCCCUCCCAACAGCUUCGUCCACAGUAUCGAAAGGCAAAAAGUGCGCAGAAACUACUUGAGUUUCUCCGGGCUAAGCACAAAGAGGAAACUAUUUUCAUUGAUAGUCCAAUAGAUGAGUAGGUAUCUGACAAGUUUGCUUAAGAAGAAAACAGUCCACAAGCAAAAAACGCCGCCUCACUUUUGCAAAAUCCAAAGUACUGUCAAUAAGCAUUACAAGAGCAGUAAUAAUCUGAGAGGAGAACAAAGACAUUCUCUAAUAUCUACAUAACUUUAUUAGAGCAAAAUUAUUUUAAAAUGCCUGUGAAUUCCCAAACCUCCUGAACACAAAUGAAUAAAAGUUUUUCUUCGGGCUAAAA
rnacentral:lncRNA from 1 species